GAUUAAGUUAUUAAGGGCGCACGGUGGAUGCCUUGGCACUAGAAGCCGAUGAAGGACGUUACUAACGACGAUAUGCUUUGGGGAGCUGUAAGUAAGCUUUGAUCCAGAGAUUUCCGAAUGGGGAAACCCAGCAUGAGUUAUGUCAUGUUAUCGAUAUGUGAAUACAUAGCAUAUCAGAAGGCACACCCGGAGAACUGAAACAUCUUAGUACCCGGAGGAAGAGAAAGAAAAUUCGAUUCCCUUAGUAGCGGCGAGCGAAAUGGGAAGAGCCCAAACCAACAAGCUUGCUUGUUGGGGUUGUAGGACACUCUAUACGGAGUUACAAAGGACGACAUUAGACGAAUCAUCUGGAAAGAUGAAUCAAAGAAGGUAAUAAUCCUGUAGUCGAAAAUGUUGUCUCUCUUGAGUGGAUCCUGAGUACGACGGAGCACGUGAAAUUCCGUCGGAAUCUGGGAGGACCAUCUCCUAAGGCUAAAUACUCUCUAGUGACCGAUAGUGAACCAGUACCGUGAGGGAAAGGUGAAAAGCACCCCGGAAGGGGAGUGAAAUAGAACCUGAAACCGUGUGCUUACAAGUAGUCAGAGCCCGUUAAUGGGUGAUGGCGUGCCUUUUGUAGAAUGAACCGGCGAGUUACGAUUUGAUGCAAGGUUAAGCAGUAAAUGUGGAGCCGUAGCGAAAGCGAGUCUGAAUAGGGCGUUUAGUAUUUGGUCGUAGACCCGAAACCAGGUGAUCUACCCUUGGUCAGGUUGAAGUUCAGGUAACACUGAAUGGAGGACCGAACCGACUUACGUUGAAAAGUGAGCGGAUGAACUGAGGGUAGCGGAGAAAUUCCAAUCGAACCUGGAGAUAGCUGGUUCUCUCCGAAAUAGCUUUAGGGCUAGCCUCAAGUGAUGAUUAUUGGAGGUAGAGCACUGUUUGGACGAGGGGCCCCUCUCGGGUUACCGAAUUCAGACAAACUCCGAAUGCCAAUUAAUUUAACUUGGGAGUCAGAACAUGGGUGAUAAGGUCCGUGUUCGAAAGGGAAACAGCCCAGACCACCAGCUAAGGUCCCAAAAUAUAUGUUAAGUGGAAAAGGAUGUGGCGUUGCCCAGACAACUAGGAUGUUGGCUUAGAAGCAGCCAUCAUUUAAAGAGUGCGUAAUAGCUCACUAGUCGAGUGACACUGCGCCGAAAAUGUACCGGGGCUAAACAUAUUACCGAAGCUGUGGAUUGUCCUUUGGACAAUGGUAGGAGAGCGUUCUAAGGGCGUUGAAGCAUGAUCGUAAGGACAUGUGGAGCGCUUAGAAGUGAGAAUGCCGGUGUGAGUAGCGAAAGACGGGUGAGAAUCCCGUCCACCGAUUGACUAAGGUUUCCAGAGGAAGGCUCGUCCGCUCUGGGU
rnacentral:rRNA from 1 species